rnacentral:rRNA from 1 species
CCUACGGGAGGCAGCAGUGAGGAAUAUUGGUCAAUGGACGCGAGCCUGAACCAGCCAAGUAGCGUGAAGGAUGACUGCCCUAUGGGUUGUAAACUUCUUUUAUAUGGGAAUAAAGUGCUCCAUGUGUGGUAUUUUGUAUGUACCAUAUGAAUAAGGAUCGGCUAACUCCGUGCCAGCAGCCGCGGUAAUACGGAGGAUCCGAGCGUUAUCCGGAUUUAUUGGGUUUAAAGGGAGCGUAGGUGGAUUGUUAAGUCAGUUGUGAAAGUUUGCGGCUCAACCGUAAAAUUGCAGUUGAAACUGGCAGUCUUGAGUACAGUAGAGGUAGGCGGAAUUCGUGGUGUAGCGGUGAAAUGCUUAGAUAUCACGAAGAACUCCGAUUGCGAAGGCAGCAUACUGGACUGCAACUGACGCUGAGGCUCGAAAGUGUGGGUAUCAAACAGGAUUAGAUACCCUAGUAGUC